CAAUAUUACACUAACCAAAAGAAGACUCACCAAAGGCAUAUUGUAUGAUGCCAUUUAUAUGAAAUGUUUAGAAUAGGGAAAUUCAUAGAGACAGAAAGCUGAAUGGUGAUUGCCAGGGACUAGGGAGAACACGAAUGGGGAGUGACUGCUGCAUGGGUAUGGGUCUUCUUGGGGCAGCAAAAAUGCUCUAAAAUUAGUGGUGAUGGUUGCACAACUCUGUGAAUAUACUAGAAACCAUUGAAUUAGGCCAGGCUCAGUGGCUUAUGCCUGUAGUCCCAGCACUUUGGGAGGCCAAGGUGGGUGGCUCACUUGAGCCCAGGAGUUCAAGACCAGCUUGGGCAACAUGGCAAAACUUUAUCUCUACAAAAAAUACAAAAAUUACCUGGGCAUGGUGGCAUGAGUCUGUAGUCCCAGCUACUCAGGAGGCUGAGGUGGGAGGAUCACCUGAGCCUGGGAGGUGGAGGCUGCAGUGAGAUGUGAUCGCGCCACUGUACUUCAGCCUGGGUGCCAGAGUAAGACUGUCUCAAAAGAAAAAAAGAAAGAAAAGAAACCAUUGAAGUAUACACUUUAAAUCACUGGAUUAUAUGGUAUGUACGUUAUUUCACAAUAAAGCUGUUUUAUUUUUAAAGUGAGUAUAUUCAAUGCAGAAAAUUUUUGGAAAAACUGAAAGAUGAUAAAAGGAAAAAAUACCCAUCAUUAAUACCCUGUGUAUUUUUGUAUCUUCCCUCCCAGUCUCUUUUCUGAAAAUACUAUAUAUUAAUAGAUAUUUUAAUACAUUAUGUAUAUAUUCCUCCCCACCCCAGGAAAGGUUAUAAUGUAAUAUUGCUUUGUAAUCUGCUUUUAAAAGUUUCUUAAUUUACAAGUAACACCUGGUCAUUGUAGAAGGAAUAGAAAAUGCUCAAAAGCAGAAAGUAAACCGAAGUCACCCAGAAUCCUCCCACCCAGGAAAGCCACUGUUAACCACUAUUUCACACACACGUAUUCCUGUUUCUUUUUUUUUUUAACGGGGCUAGACAAAUUCUAACAGAGCUGUAACACUACACACUUCUUUUUCUAAGGACGGGUCAUCAGGCAUUGCUUUGCUGGCCAUUCCCCAAGCCCUCUGUCCACGGGAGAGCUCCCCGCAACUCCCCACCCCCCAC
rnacentral:lncRNA from 1 species